rnacentral:rRNA from 1 species
UAGCAGUGAGGAAUAUUGGUCAAUAGCCUAACGGCUGAACCAGCAACUAGGAGGAAUGGAGAAUUACUUUAAAAAGUAAUUUUCUACAUAAGAAAUUAAAUGUAGAGUUAACGUAGUUAAGUAAAAUUCCAAGUAGAAAUUGAUUAUGACAGUUUCUAUGAGUAUGUCUUGACCAAUUCAUGUGCCAGCAGUCGCGGUAACACAUGUAAGACUCGUGUUAUUCAUCUUUAAUCGGUUUAAAGGGUACCUAGACAGUUAAUUAAGCCUUUAAGAGGUACUAAUAAACUAGAGUUUAAUGUAAGAAGAAGAGUACGGUGAGUGUAGAGAUAAAAUUCAGUGAUACCACUUAGAAACUGGCAAAAGCGAAGGCAAUCUUCUAUGUAAAAACUGACGUUGAGGGACGAAGGCUUGUUAAAAAUAAUAGGAUUAGAUACCCUAGUAUUGUGAGCAGACAAUGAUGAAUGUCAUAUGUAAGAAUAUAUUUUUUGUGUAUAAAUGAAAGUGUAAGCAUUCCACCUCAAGAGUAAUAUGGCAACAUAUAAACUGAAAUCAUUAGACCGUUUCUGAAACUCGUAGUGAAGUAUGUUGUUUAAUUUGAUGAUCCACAAAGAACCUUACCACAAUUUGAAUAUUUAUAUUUAGGAUAUUAUAUCCUAAUACUAAUACAAGCGUUGCACGGCUGUCUUCAGUUAAUGUCGUGAGACUUUGGUUAGAUCCAUUAAAUUAACGUAUAACCCUUACUUUAUUUAAAAUAAAAUAGUUCGCCGCUAUAUUGGUAGUGAUAUAAGGGACCAAGACAAGUCAUCAUGGCCUAAAUAUUGUGGGCUAUAGACGUGCCACAU